rnacentral:tRNA from 1 species
GCGGGUGUAGUUUAAUGGUAAAACCUCAGCCUUCCAAGUUGAUGUUGUGAGUUCGAUUCUCAUCACCCGCUCCA